rnacentral:rRNA from 1 species
GACGAACGCUGGCGGCGUGCCUAAUACAUGCAAGUAGGACGCACAGUCUAUACCGUAGCUUGCUACACCAUAGGCUGUGAGUUGCGAACGGGUGAGUAACGCGUAGGUAACCUGCCUAUUAGAGGGGGAUAACUAUUGGAAACGAUAGCUAAUACCGCAUAACAGUAUGUAACACAUGUUAGAUGCGUGAAAGAUGCAAUUGCAUCGCUAGUAGAUGGACCUGCGUUGUAUUAGCUAGUAGGGAGGGUAAUGGGCUACCUAGGCGACGAUACAUAGCCGACCUGAGAGGGUGAUCGGCCACACUGGGACGGAGACACCGCCCAGACGACUACGGGAGGGAGCAGUAGGGAAUCUUAGGCAAUGGGGGGAAACCUGACCGAGCAGCGCGGCGUGAGAGAAGAAGGGUUUCGGAUCGGAAAGAUCGGUUGUUGAGGAAGAACGGGUGUGAGAAUGGAAAGUUCAUACUGUGACGGUACUUAAACAGAAAGGGACGGCUAACUACGUG